rnacentral:rRNA from 1 species
AACGAACGCUGGCGGCAGGCUUAACACAUGCAAGUCGAACGAUGAAGCUAGAGCUUGCUCUGGUGAAUUAGUGGCGAACGGGUGAGUAACACGUGAGUAACCUGCCCCGAACUCUGGGAUAACUGCUGGAAACGGUAGCUAAUACUGGAUACGACCUACGAAGGCAUCUUCUGUAGGUGGAAAGAAUUUCGGUUCGGGAUGGACUCGCGGCCUAUCAGCUUGUUGGUGAGGUAAUGGCUCACCAAGGCGACGACGGGUAGCCGGCCUGAGAGGGUGACCGGCCACACUGGGACUGAGACACGGCCCAGACUCCUACGGGAGGCAGCAGUGGGGAAUAUUGCACAAUGGGCGCAAGCCUGAUGCAGCGACGCCGCGUGAGGGAUGACGGCCUUCGGGUUGUAAACCUCUUUCAGCACCGACGAAGCGCAAGUGACGGUAGGUGCAGAAGAAGGACCGGCCAACUACGUGCCAGCCGCCGCAGUAA